rnacentral:rRNA from 1 species
UACGGGGGGGGCAAGCGUUGUUCGGAAUCAUUGGGCUUAAAGAGCGCGUAGGCGGCGACGUAAGUUGGAAGUGAAAUCCCAUCGGCUCAACCGUGGAAUCGCUCCCAGUACUGCGUUGCUCGAGGGAGAUAGGGGCCUGUGGAACUGCCGGUGGAGCGGUGAAAUGUGUUGAUAUCGGCGGGAACGCCAGUGGCGAAAGCGACAGGCUGGACCUUUUCUGACGCUGAGGCGCGAAAGCUAGGGGAGCAAACGGG